GCCCCCAUCGUCUAACAGGUUAGGACACCAGCUUCUCAGGCUGGAAAUACCGGUUCGAAUCCGGUUGGGGGCA
rnacentral:tRNA from 1 species